UAUCCAUCACAGCAGCCCCUCACCGCUCGCAGCCUCAGUGCCUGUGUGAGGCACUCACUGACUCACAGAAGGAGAUAGAAUAUCCAGUAGAUCGAGAGUUUCUUCCUGCUUUGUUUUUCUUCUUCCUGCUCUGUUUUUCCCAGAUUCCCAGAUCUCCUCUCGCAGUCUCGCCCAGUCGGCCCAGAUCGAGAGUAUCGCCGUCGCCGAUUCUGUUUGCUACGGUGCUACCAGUGGCGGAGAGAGACAGAGGGACAGAGAUUCCAUGUUAGCUACUUAGCUGAGCCGCUGAGGAGUGAGGAACUGCUGAACUGAGGCUCUUGAUUUCUUGAAUCUUGAUCAUGGUCGGUCUCGGUGACUCGGUCAUCCCCAUCACGAUCUCUUAGAAGGAGAGAGAAUAUCCAGUAGAAAACCAACUCUUAAUCAAGCCCAAUUUCAAAGCGAGCAGUGCGAUUUAGUCUUGGCUUUUGUGUGUCUACAUUUGCUCAAUUGGAACCUAUUCGAUUCGAUGUGUGGUAAUCAGUGUUUGAAAGAGGAUUGGUUAGUCUAUAUUAGAGAGCUGAAUGUGUUACAAUUGGAGGGAUUGCCGAUUGGUUUUAUGGUUCGUUGUUAUAUUAUUCUUAUGAUACAAGUAAAGUAAGCAUGGGAGAGGGUAAGGUGCAGAUUGGGGGACUUAGAGGAUGUGUUCAGGGUUCGUGUAGGCUUCUCCAUAACAUAUUAGUUGGACAGUCGAACUGUUGAAAGUCUGUGUUUAAUUGCUACGGUGGUGUACAGAAACACAAGACAUAUUUUUAUGUUUAUUUUACCUUGAUGUCAACGAAUUGAGGUGUUAUAGGUUUUAUUUAACUCUGAUUUGUUAUGAGAAUGCCUUUUCUCCCUCUUGUGUGGGCAUCAUGUACCUGUGCUGUAACCUCUGUCUUUAAUUCUUGUUAGAGGUUAACUGGAUGUAUCUGGUAUUCUUAAGAUUGAAUUUAUUGUAUUAGAAUACCUGAUUUAAA